GGCUCGCGGUGUGCUCAGGACGGGCCAAUCAGCCGCCCGCUUGGGGGGCGUGUUGAACUUUGGUGGGAGCUUUGGUUUGGCGGGGACCUGCGCCGAGUUGAAGUCUUUCUCGGUACUCGGAGCCCGACCCGGGCCGGCGGGAUCUGGGCGCCCGUCAGAGCGCAUGCUCGAAGCGAGGAGGCACCCUCAGCCCGAUGGAGUCUGAACUCACCUACUUUUAGUUGGACUUCCCAGUGGUUAAGACUCCCCGCUUCCACUGCAGGGGGCACGGGUUCGAUACCUGGUUGGGAAACUAAGAUCCUGAAUGCUGCGCGGCAUGGCCAAAAAAAAAAAAAGAAAAUUUCAAAACCCGUGAAGACUUGUGAACACCUGGCAAGCUCAGAUUUGCUCCAUUCCUGCUCCAGCCCCUCCCCCGGCUCUCACCAGCUCAGCCAUUUACAGUGACCGAGAGGCUGAGUCUGCACCCCCUGCCGCGUCCAACACCAGUAUCUUAGAGACGUGUGGACGCCGAGGCCCCCAAGCUAAGCAAUCUUACCUAGGUGCUGCGCACCCACAUCUAUGCCCUUCAGUGCGACUCUGGGACCCUCCCCACCUUCACCUGGGCCCUCCCUGCCAUGCUGUCGAGCGGCCCCAAGUGGGCUCACAGCUCCCACCAGGCUGCCUUCCACCUUUGCCCUCCUGG